rnacentral:rRNA from 1 species
UCAGAACGAACGCUGGCGGCACGCCUAACACAUGCAAGUCGAGCGCUUCCCUUCGGGGAGGAGCGGCGGACGGGUUAGUAACGCGUGGGAACAUACCCUUCACUAAGGAAUAGCCACUGGAAACGGUGAGUAAUACCUUAUACGCCCUUCGGGGGAAAGAUUUAUCGGUGAAGGAUUGGCCCGCGUUAGAUUAGAUAGUUGGUGGGGUAACGGCCUACCAAGUCGACGAUCUAUAGCUGGUUUGAGAGGAUGAUCAGCAACACUGGGACUGAGACACGGCCCAGACUCCUACGGGAGGCAGCAGUGGGGAAUCUUAGACAAUGGGCGCAAGCCUGAUCUAGCGAUGCCGCGUGAGUGAUGAAGGCCUUAGGGUCGUAAAGCUCUUUCACCAGGGAUGAUAAUGACAGUACCUGGAAAAGAAACCCCGGCUAACUCCGUGCCAGCAGCCGCGGUAAUACGGAGGGGGUUAG